rnacentral:rRNA from 1 species
CCCUUAGAUGUUCUGGGCCGCACGCGCGCUACACUGACGGGGACAACGAGUUUGCAACCUGCGCCGGUAGGUGUGGGUAAUCUUUUGAGCCCUCGUCGUGCUGGGGCUAGAUCUUUGUAAUUUUCGAUCUCAAACGAGGAAUUCCUAGUAAGCGUGAUUCAUCAGAUCGCGUUGAUUACGUCCCUGCCCUUUGUACACACCGCCCGUCGCUACUACCGAUUGAAUGAUUUAGUGAGGACUUCGGACUGGGACCGAUGCGGCUUUCGGGCUGCGUCGGUAUUCUGGAAAGAUGUCCAAACUGUAUCAUUUAGAGGAAGUAAAAGUCGUAACA